AGACCUGAAAUUAGUCGAGAUUACCCGCUGAAUUUAAGCAUAUUAUUAAGCGGAGGAAAAGAAAAUAACAAUGAUUCCCCUA
rnacentral:ncRNA from 1 species